rnacentral:misc_RNA from 1 species
UUGAAAAACUAUAUUAGUUUUUUAUAUCCCAUUGUUUUAUCUACCCUGUUGCUUCUACUGGACUGUUUUACUUGAGAGGUAAGAUUUAUCUCUAGGUAAAACCUCAGGCUUGUGUGAACCACACUCGCCAGAGAGCUGCCAGUAGCAAGACCACUUGUUAAAACUUGUUGUGAAAUAUAUAGUCUGAAUUUUGUGUCUUGAAAAUGAAAUA